CCACUUGAGCCACAUCCCCAGCCCCCCUGUACUCAGUUUUAACAGGGUGGUUUAGCAAUGUACCUAGAAAUCCCCCUCUCAGUUUAGGAGGGCCAUACUAAGUAGGAGUGGCUAUUAAAGGCACAAGAAAAUAAU
ensembl:scaRNA